rnacentral:rRNA from 1 species
CCUACGGGUGGCAGCAGUGAGGAAUAUUGGUCAAUGGCCGUAAGCCUGAACCAGCCAAGUCGCGUGAGGGAUGAAGGUUCUAUGGAUCGUAAACCUCUUUUAUAAGGGAGUAAAGUGCGGGUCGGGUCCCGCUUUGUAUGUACCUUAUGAAUAAGGAUCGGCUAACUCCGUGCCAGCAGCCGCGGUAAUACGGAGGAUGCGAGCGUUAUCCGGAUUUAUUGGGUUUAAAGGGUGCGGAGGCGGCCGUUUAAGUCAGCGGUGAAAGUCGGUGGCUCCACCAUAGCAUUGCCGUGGAAACUGGGAGGCUUGAGUAUGGUAGAGGCAGGCGGAAUGCGUGGUGUAGCGGUGAAAUGCUUAGAUAUCACGCAGAACCCCGAUUGCGAAGGCAGCCUACCAAGCCAUGACUGACGCUGAUGCACGAAAGCGUGGGGAUCAAACAGGAUUAGAUACCCGAGUAGUC